rnacentral:rRNA from 1 species
UGGGGAAUAUUGGACAAUGGGCGGAAGCCUGAUCCAGCAACGCCGCGUGAGGGAUGACGGCCUUCGGGUUGUAAACCUCUUUCAGCACAGACGAAGCGCCCGUUGUGGGUGGUGACGGUAUGUGCAGAAGAAGCACCGGCCAACUACGUGCCAGCAGCCGCGGUAAUACGUAGGGUGCGAGCGUUGUCCGGAAUUAUUGGGCGUAAAGGGCUCGUAGGCGGUUUGUCGCGUCGGGAGUGAAAUCCACUGGCUUAACUGGUGGCUUGCUUUCGAUACGGGCAGACUGGAGGCAUGCAGGGGAGAACGGAAUUCCUGGUGUAGCGGUGAAAUGCGCAGAUAUCAGGAGGAACACCGGUGGCGAAGGCGGUUCUCUGGGCAUGUCCUGACGCUGAGGAGCGAAAGUGUGGGGAGCGAACAGGAUUAGAUACCCUGGUAGUCCACACCGUAAACGUUGGGCGCUAGGUGUGGGAUCCAUUCCACGGGUUCCGUGCCGCAGCUAACGCAUUAAGCGCCCCGCCUGGGGAGUACGGCCGCAAGGCUAA